UCAAUGUUCUCAGAAAUACAUAUUCGUGAUCGAUGAGAAUACAUUUGUUGAAGUCGAGAUCAUUCGCUUUAUUUUUAUCCGUCAAAGUUCGAAUAAAAAUUUAGGGUGAACGUUUCAUUUGAGAUCUAUCUGACUCUUUAUCUCUUCUCCUUUUCUUUCUUUCUUUUUUUCUUUUUUCACUUUUCAAGUGAAAAAAAAAAAUGAAAAAUAAUUUAUAAUUUGUGAUCACAUUGGUAAACAAGUAUCCUCUAUGUGAUAGCGAACGUAACAGUAAAGAUGAUAUAUGGUCUGCUACGAAACAUCGAAAUACAUAAACAGUGAUGUCUGAAGACGAUUAUAAGCGAAUGGCAACAGACCGUUAUCUUGAACAUGUACAUUGAUAAACUUGAAAUCGAAGUCCUACAACACAUAUCUAAGGAAUUCUUCGCACUAGAAGGUAUAAUAGAACUUGUAAAACUAUCCAGGUUCUUUGUAUAAAAGUAUAAUAAUUUCAAAGAGUUAAACUACUUUUACGAUUUGUUGACACAAGAAGGGGGAAAGGGUAAUCGUUUUUUAUCGAUCGAUGGGCUGAGUUAUGGCAGGCGAAAGGAUGGUUACGCAGUUGCACUUGGAAGACAAUGCGACGAUAAGAACGCUUUCAGAGGCAAAUGCAACGACCGGAUGCAAGUUUGCGAAACUUGCCUGGGCAAUUAACAAGGCUACUUUAUAUCUUUAAUACUUCAUUUUACCGUACAUGUUCAUUAAAAAAAAAAAAAAAAAGGAGAAAGAAAGGGAGAAAAAAAUUCCACGGAAUAAGAAAUAAGAGAUAAAACGUAUUUAUAAUUAUUUAUUCAGAUUAAUAUGUACCAACCCAAAUGAAAUUGGAUCCACAUGUGUUCAGCAUUGAAGCGACUAUUUUUAUCUAAGGUAUUAAAGAAUAUGUGUAUGCAUAUAUAUAUAUAUAUAUAUAUAUAUACAUGUAAAUGUAUUAAUCAAGCGUGCGUGAGUAUCGUUUAUAGAAGAUUUCAAUUAACUACAUCGUCGUCAUCGUCGAGCUGACAAAAGCGAAAACAAGGGACUAAUUGCGAGCGAUAGAAGGGGACCGGAAACUGAAACUAUUACGACCGGUUUUCGAGCCAGUCGAUUAUCCCUAGUAUAUGCUUAUGCUAGUUAUAACUCUAAUGAUGAAAACAUCUGCUGAUACACGUGAAACUUCAAUCUUCUUUAACCAUCGAAAAUAUCAAUGAAUGACGAGAACGCUCGAAUAAAAAGGAUUGUUUAUAUUAAAUGAAGAAAAAAAAAACAAAGAAACAAAGAAACAAAACAAAACAAAAAAAGAAAAUAUUUUAUUAUGCAAACUAUCGCAUUUAACACCGUUCCAAAUACAAAAUGAACACCUUGUAUUAUUUCUUAUGUACGGUUGAGUAACCGCACGGUAGAGACAACAUACGCAUAUAUACAUACAUAUUUACGUGGGUACGUCUCGGGCAUUGGGAGACUCCUAUCAUAAAACGGCCGAGUGAAAGGAUAAGCCGCGAGUUCAUCUCGAGUCUCAACAAACCAAUCUUCUCGAGCAUUCAGACGUGCCAUCGAAGAGUCAUUUAAACGAUUGGAAUGCGCGCGCGAAUGAGAUUGAUUUUUUUGU